rnacentral:misc_RNA from 1 species
CGCACCUUGCGCUCCCGGCAGAUCUAAUCUGGGGAGCAUGCCUGUUUGAGGGCCGCGAAUUGUUUCGAUCGACAGCUUUUUCUUUACGGAAGAGUUGGCGAUCGGUAGUGAGGGUUUCUUUGCCAUUAACCGUGGCUCCCUCGAAAUGCAUUAGCGCAUCCAUUUGAUAGGCGAGAACGGACGAAAGCUCACUUUUCGCCCUUUCUUCCCUGCCGGGUUUUGAUAAUAUCAAGACUUCGGAGGUGAAGACAGGGUACGAGCUGGACGCGACGUUUUUGCUGUUUGGCGUGCUUCUGAAACCCGCCCAUGCCUUGCAAAAGGAAGGGAUUUUAAUAAUUCAUCGGCCUCAGAUUGGUAGGACUACCCGCUGAACUUAA